UACGUAGGGUGCGAGCGUUGCCCGGAUUUAUUGGGCGUAAAGGGCGCGUAGGCGGCCACGCACGUCCGUUGUGAAAUCGCUCGGCUCAACUGGGCGGGGUCAGCGGAUACGGAGUGGCUGGAGCAAGCUAGGGGGCAAUGGAAUUCCCGGUGUAGUGGUGGAAUGCGUAGAUAUCGGGAGGAACACCAGUGGCGAAGGCGGUUGCCUGGAGCUUUGCUGACGCUGAUGCGCGAAAGCUAGGGAGCA
rnacentral:rRNA from 1 species